rnacentral:rRNA from 1 species
UACGUAGGGGGCAAGCGUUGUCCGGAAUCAUUGGGCGUAAAGAGCGUGUAGGCGGCUCGGUAAGUCCGCUGUGAAAGUCCAGGGCUCAACCCUGGAAUGCCGGUGGAAACUGUCGAGCUAGAGUCCGGAAGAGGCGAGUGGAAUUCCUGGUGUAGCGGUGAAAUGCGCAGAUAUCAUGAGGAACACCAAUGGCGAAGGCAGCUCGCUGGGACGGUACUGACGCUGAGACGCGAAAGCGUGGGGAGCAAACAGG